ensembl:lncRNA
CUCAAAUGUUUCUGAGGAAUGUGAACACAUCCUUAAAAAUAGGUUUGUUAAAAACAAAAAUAAAAAACCCAAGGGUUGUUUAGAAGAUAAACAGUUUCUGGUAAGGCAAAGGAAGUAUAAAUUCACACCACCCACUUGUUUAAAAAUAGCUGGUGUUUCUUACAGGUCAGAAAAACCUGUUGCAGUAUGCAGACAUGUGUUUGUGUUUGCCUGUCUGUUUCCUGCGGAAAAAUACUACAAGUGUCCGUACGGGCAAAUUAAUGUGGAGGAUCCUACUAAGAAGAAACUUCAACUCUUUGUUUUAUGUAUAGUAGUAAAUGUUAAGAUCGGCUGAACAACUCAUUUUGUGUGUUCCCAUAUUGAAUUUGGACUUCUUUUAAUGCACAUUCGUCUUACACUCUGUUUAAAAUGAUGAAAUACGCUACACCAGAUGUGCAACCCACACUCCAGGAAAUGGUUUGAAUCACAUCUAUCCACUGUGAUUUGACUUACAGGAGUUGGUGUGCUCCUCUGUCAGAUGAAUUCCACAAGCGGGAAUUUUCGCAGUGAUGAAUAUUCAUACGGUUACAGGCGAUCUUAAUUUUGACAGCUGUCAAUUCAGACUACGUGCUUCCUCCCUGGUAAAUGUACGACCAAGAAAACACCAUGGAAAAUGAAGUCUUCUCAUAAAAUGUGUGUUGACGUUAAAUACAUAGGCUUAGAAGGCUUCGUUUCAUGUUUAAAAAACCUGUAAAAACACAAAUUAUAUUUAAAGAGUUAACAGAAGUAUUUAUUAUUAUUUUAUGUAACUUAAACUAAUUAAAAUUACCUUUCUAGAAGUUCUCAAAUGUAUUUUGGCUUUGCUUCAACAGGUCUUGUACAAUUUACAUAUGCUAUAUACAGGGUUGUUGUCAAGGCCCUGUGUAAAAAUGUCCUUAACGGCAUACACUUUGAGCUACUUUGAGGGUGCAGGAGAUUAACAAUAAAAAAUGGUCCUUGGCCCUUUCAGCAACGACUGUAUGUGUUUGAGAUUCCGUGUGCAUGUUUAUGUAUUUACGCAUAAAGAAUUGUUUAAUUGCAUAUAAAGUUUAUUCAUUCAAAGUACAUCAUAUUCAAAGUACAUCACAUUCAGUUGUUAGUGUCUGCUACCUCCUGGCCAUUAUAUGCAUCUUCAUAUUUGCCUGUCUGAUUUAUAUCUCCCUGUGGCUAACUGAGAUUGAUACUCAGGUUUUCCAUCCACUGAAACUGAUUUCAG